rnacentral:rRNA from 1 species
UACGGAAGGCAGCAGUGGGGAAUAUUGCACAAUGGGCGAAAGCCUGAUGCAGCUAUGCCGCGUGUAUGAAGAAGGCCUUAGGGUUGUAAAGUACUUUCAUCGGGGAGGAAAAAACAAAACUAAUAAUUUUAUUUCUUGACGUUACCCGAAAAAGAAGCACCGGCUAACUCCGUGCCAGCAGCCGCGGUAAUACGGAGGGUGCUAGCGUUAAUCAGAAUUACUGGGCGUAAAGAGCACGUAGGUGGUUUUUUUAAGUCAGAUGUGAAAUCCCUGGGCUUAACCUAGGAACUGCAUUUUGAAACUGAAAUACUAGAGUAUCGUAGAGGGAGGUAGAAUUCUAGGUGUAGCGGUGAAAUGCGUAGAUAUCUGGAGGAAUACCUGUGGCGAAAGCGGCCUCCUAAACGAAUACUGACACUGAGGUGCGAAAGGCGUGGGGAGCAAACAGGGAUUAGAUACC